UACGGGGGGGCAAGCGUUGUUCGGAAUUACAUGGGCGUAAAGGGCUCGUAGGUGGCCAACUAAGUCAUACGUGAAAUCCCUCGGCUUAACCGGGGAACUGCGUCUGAUACUGGAUGGCUUGAAGGUUGGGAGAGGGAUGCGGGAAUUCCGAGGUGUAGGCGGUGAAAUGCGUAGAUAUCUGGAGGAACACCGGGUGGCGAAGGCGGCGAUCUGGGACAGAUAUUGACGCUGAGGUGCGAAAGCGUGGGGAGCAACAGG
rnacentral:rRNA from 1 species